GAUCAUGGCUCAGGAUGAACGCUAGCUACAGGCUUAACACAUGCAAGUCGAGGGGCAGCAUGGUCUUAGCUUGCUAAGGCCGAUGGCGACCGGCGCACGGGUGAGUAACGUUUCGUAUCCAACCUGCCUUACACUCUUGGACAGCCUUCUGAAAGGGAGAUUAAUACAAGAUGUUAUCAUGAGUAAGCAUUUUCGCAUGAUUAAAGGUUUACCGGUGUAAGAUGGGGAUGCG
rnacentral:rRNA from 1 species